rnacentral:rRNA from 1 species
CCCUUAGAUGUCCUGGGCCGCACGCGCGCUACACUGAUGCAUGCAACGAGUUUAUAACCUUGGCCUGAAAGGUCUGGGUAAUCUUUUGAACGUGCAUCGUGAUAGGGAUAGAUUAUUGCAAUUGUUAAUCUUGAACGAGGAAUUCCUAGUAAACGCGAGUCAUCAGCUCGCAUUGAUUACGUCCCUGCCCUUUGCACACACCGCCCGUCGCACCUACCGAUUGAAUGGUUCGGUGAAGAUCUCGGACUUCGAUAUUUAUUCUUUAUUGAGUUUAUAUUGUGGGAAGUUAUCUAAACCUCAUCAUUUAGAGGAAGGUGAAGUCGUAACA